ACGGACCCUCGAGCUAGCCCCGCUUCCCUCACGGUAUCGCUGCCAGUGGACCCAACCUCACCACGCCAUGCACCGUCACUGCCACAUGGGGUCCCGCUCCACUGUUCUUCUUCAUAUCAACCACCUUGAGGGAUUUGUGUGUCGUCGCAACGACCGCACCUGGAACCCUGUCGGUGCAUAAAAACCCAGACCGCGACCCUAUAGUCAUCCGCAUGCCCCCCAUCUCGCCUCAUAGACACCAGCCGCCGUUGGGAGAGAAGAGAGGAGGGAGUGGAGGCCCAGAGCACCACCAACACCGUCUUCUGCCACCACCGUCGUUCGGCCCUCGCUAGGAGGCCCAGAGGGUCCAUCGUGUCGCGUGGGAUCUAGGCGGACCUUCCCUCCUCUGGGAGUCAGUUGGGCUCACCGGGAAUCGCUCGAUGGAGUCAACUCGCCACAAGCAUCCGCGCCCUGCCAUAGACCAACCCCUCCACGACAAUUGCUCGGCGGUAAGAUCAUCCCCACCUGGUCACCUUAGGCUCCUCUCUAUAUAGCACCGGUUUAAUUUCGAGAUACUACAACUAAGCGAAUGUUGGUCGUGCGACGACGAGCUCGCCGCCGUGGCUAGCUCGGGCGCGGCCGCCCAGCUGGUCGUCGGGGUCGAGGAGGGUGCCCUAGCCAUCGAUUCGAUCUUGGGCGACUCGGAUUUGAGGGUGUACCGAUCGCUAGAUAUCGAGCGGACCGCAGAGAUUGAACUGAUGGUGUAUCCCUCGUAGUCGGUUGUGCGCCGUCCGAUCUGAAUCUGACGCAUGAAAACCCAUCCAAUUCUUUAAAAUCUGGAGCAUUGAUCUUGAUCCGAGGGUUGUCGGUUGGAGUCUGUUCGGUCUAAUCUGGAUCAUCCAAUGGAGAUCCAAUGGCCAGAGGUCAUCGAUACCCCUUCGGCUGAACGGUUUUACAUAAGAGACCCUGAUCUUUUAAUAUAUCAACCUGCCAUCCACACCAGUAUUAAGAUCAAUACGAUCAGGUCCCAAUACUUAUGAAACCAACCCUUAGCUUUUCACAAAUAAAACCAGUAGUCCAAAGGAUUUGCUGAUUUGUAUAAAUUUGAUUUUAAAUUGAUUUUUAGUAUAAAGGUAAUUCAUACAACUUUGAAAAUCAAUAACUUCUACUAUAUAACUCCAAAUUACUCCAUUCAAGUUGCACUAGCCUCGUAAUAAAAUUGUCUACACUUUGGUAACCCUAUUUUUUAUCACGUGACAUGUUUUUUUAAAAGAAUACUUAUGUUCUUUGGAUUAACUUUUUUAAUUAAAGUUAAAAUGAUGUUUUCAGUCCCUAGUUAUAACUUGACCUCUAUUCAAGUUAUACCAUAGGUUUAAAAUUAGUUCUUUAAUUAUAAUGUCUUUCUCACCUGAAUUAUAAUCGAUAUAGAACAUUAGUUUCAAUAUUCAAUCCUCUGAACCUUCCGAAAGUCAUAUCUCUUUAACCAUAACUCCGUUCUUAGACAUUCUACAAUCCAUGAUCUCAUAGCAUCGCGUAGAAUUUACUAUUUGAUUUCUUCAUAUAUUUAUUUUAUUAUUUAUAUUUUUUUCUUAUACAAAAUUUGGCCCUUACAUUAUAUGUGGUAUCUUCUACAUUGUCACAUGGGUAUGAUUCUAUGAUCUCCGCGUACGACGGCUAUGACUCACUCUUCACCGCGGGGCAUUGUCAUUUGGCACUAAGGAGUUUGGGAUCACCAUCCAUGUAGGCUGCGAUAAAAGGAUGGACGAGAAGUACAAGGUGGUGAUUAAUGAUGCCACAUGAUCAGCCUGUUGCAUUUGAGAAUGAUGUUAGCGGGCUACUCCACUAAUAUCUAGGUCUUCGACCGUGCCGUGUGACGUAAUAGUUGAUGUAAAUUUAGAGAGUAACACUAAACUGGUUGUCGGUAAAGAAUUUAUGAGAUAUUAUGCCUCAUUUUUAUAUAAUCAUUAUGCACUAAUA